UGGAUAGCUCAUUAAAACAGUUAAAGUUUAUUCGAUGGUUGAGUGCUACAUGGACAACCGUGGUAAUUCUAGAGCUAAUACGUGCGAAGAAGCUGACUCUCGAAAGUGAGGAAGCGGUGCUUAUUAGAUUCAAAGCCGACCUGCUCCCGAGCAGGGAUCGGUGACUCAUGGUAAUCAAUCGAAUCGCAUGACUGUCGUCGGCGAUACAUCGUUCAAGUUUCUGACCUAUCAGCUUUCGACGAUAAGGUAUUGGCUUACCGUGGCAGUGACGGGUAACGGGGAAUUAGGGUUUGAUUCCGGAGAGGGAGCCUGAGAAACGGCUACCACAUCUAAGGAAGGCAGCAGGCGCGUAAAUUACCCAAUUCUGACACAGAGAGGUAGUGACAAGAAAUAACAAUACAAGGUAUUUAAUGCUUUGUAAUUGGAAUGAGUUGAAGGUAAAGCUUUCGACGAGAACCAAUUGGAGGGCAAGUCUGGUGCCAGCAGCCGCGGUAAUUCCAGCUCCAAUAGCGUAUAUUAAAGUUGUUGCAGUUAAAAAGCUCGUAGUCGGAUAUCUGCCAUUGGCAGGGGGACAUC
rnacentral:rRNA from 1 species